UGAUUUCAUAAGCUUAAAGUUUCAUAAUUUAUGAAAUGUCUGUUCAAAUCUUUUUGUAAUUUUUUAAUUAUAUUGAUUGCAUUUUCACAAUUGGUUUGAAUGGUGUAUAUUUUCUGGAUACGAGGCUUUCAUUGGUGAUAUGUGUAAGAAAUAAUUUCCUGUGCCCUGUGCCUUAUAUUUUCCAUCUUUUAGGAUGUUAUAAGGACAAAUGUUCUUAAUAUAAUAUAGUAAAAUGUAUCAUUUUAUAUACAUAGUUGAUGCUUCUGUAUUUUUGAGGACACUUUUUCUAACCCAAAGAAGUUAGGUUAAUUGCAUAUUAAUAAUCGCCGAACUUUUACACAGGAUUUGCACACAACUUAGCAAGAUGAAAAGUUGGAAAUAUUUUAUAAAGAGCAAUAUGCAUUUUCAAGUGAAAUAGCAUUUCUUUAGCAAAGAAAUUAUGUUUAUCUUGUUCUUGAGUAGGAUUGUAAAAUGAUGUGAAGGAGAAUAUGAAAUAAUUCUGGGGAAAUGAUAAGUUAAUAAAUGUUUGUUACUUUUUUCUUUUUCCAUUAAUGUUUUUCAAUAUGUCAUAACAUUUUCACUUUGAAGGUUUUACAAUCUGCAAUGAAAGAACUCACCUUUCUCAAACAUGGUUCCAAGAAAAUAAAGGUCAUUGCAAGUCUCAUCAUGUGCAGGAUAACCAUUUUCCUGUGUUUCCUGAGAUUUUCUGCGAUUUUCUUCCUUUAUGGACUGAUGUUUGAUUGACAAAAUUUAGGGAGUAAUAUGUUCUUGGCUCAGGCUCUCCUUGGAGCUGCUGACUUCGCAAUGAAGUUUUUCUUUUCUUGCAACAAAGGUCCUCUAAGGCCGGCCUUUGACAGCUUUUGUCCUUGUCUUCGCUGGUGUUCUACCUUCAUCGACGUAUUCGCACCCCGAGACACACCUUUUAAACAAGUAGGAAUUGCUACCUUGGGAAAAGGAUCCAUGUCAAUAUACGUCAGCAUGAGUGCCAUCUACAAUCAUGAACUCACACACAUAGGGAUCAGGUAAGCCCCUGGGCUCUCCU
rnacentral:lncRNA from 1 species